rnacentral:rRNA from 1 species
UACGGAGGGUGCAAGCGUUGUUCGGAAUUACUGGGCGUAAAGCGCACGUAGGCGGGUUUGUAAGUCGAUUGUGAAAUCCCCGAGCUUAACUUGGGAAUUGCAGUCGAAACUGCAGAUCUUGAAUGUUUGAGAGGAUGGCGGAAUUCCUGGAGUAGUAGUGAAAUACGUAGAUAUCAGGAAGAACACCAGAGGCGAAGGCGGCUAUCUGGCAAUACAUUGACGCUGAGGUGCGAAAGCGUGGGGAGCAAACAGG